rnacentral:tRNA from 1 species
GAGGGUGUAGCUCAGUGGUAGAGUGAGUGCUUAGCAUGCACGAGGUCCUGGGUUCAAUCCUCAGCACUUCCA